rnacentral:hammerhead_ribozyme from 1 species
GCACGGUUGAGGAGUCCCAAAAAUAGGACGAAACGGUCGUCCAGUGC